rnacentral:rRNA from 1 species
ACCCGCUGAAUUUAAGCAUAUAAGUAGGUGGAGGAAUGUGAACUUAAAAUGGGUAUUAAGUAAUUGCGAAUGAACAGUGCCAGGCGCAAGUGGUUUGCUUGAUGCAAAUUCAAGCUCUGCAAAAUGGGAGCACACUGCUAAUGGAGGUGCGUGCUGAUGUCUCCUGGAGUAGAACAACAGAGAAGGUGAAAUUCCUAAGUAUGCUGCGCUCUUGACCCAUGUUAGGUGUGUGCUGAAGAGUUGCAUUCCUUGGGUCUGGAAUGCAAAGCUGGUGGUAGAGUUCAUCUAAAGGCGAACACUGGUUUGGAGCUGACAGAAAACAAGUACCAUGAGGGAAAUGUGAAAAGAACUUUGAAAAGAGGGUUACAUGAAUUUGAAAUGGUUGAGGCGGAAACAAAUGAUUUGUGAGCAUGUUUAGUUAGGCUGCUGUUUGGAAUCAUGGUCAUUGAUACGCAGUGAGGUUGUAAUUCCAAUGAACAAAUCCGUUAGCCAAGCUGAGAAUUGUUUUUUCUUUGCUGAUGUUGUGCGUGACAGUGUCUUGCAUGCAUGUGAUGCUGUUGCGCACUUGAUGCAAAUAUGAGACAACAUGUUGUCUGAAAUUGUGCACUCGCGGGCAUUGCGCAAUAGUGAUUUCAAUCCCACAGCUUUGAUGGUUUUUUGACCCGUCUUGAAACACGGACCAAGGAGUCUAAAGUAUGUGCAAGUCAAUGAUAGUUGUGAUCCUGGCGUAAAGAAAGUGAUUGUCUACAUGACUGCAUCGACAGCCAAGAAUUCAAGUGUGCAUUGUUUGAGUAUGAGCAUGUGCUUUAGGACCCGAAAGAUGGUGAACUAUGCCUGGGGAGAAAAAAGUCAGGGGAAACUCUGAUGGAAGCUUGCUGCGCUACUGACGUGCAAAUCGUUCGUCACACUUGGGUAUAGGGGCGAAAGACCAAUCGAACCAUCUAGUAGCUGGUUCCCUCUGAAGUUUCCCUCAGGAUAGCUGGAUAUGUUUAGUUUCAUCAUGUAAAGCGAAUGACUGAAGGAAUUGGGGGCUGUUGCCCUUGACCUGCUCUCAAACUUUUAAUGGGUAGGAUCUAAUGGUUGUUUGCUAAACCAUUGGGGCAAAUACUCAAUUUCCAUGUGGGCCGCUUUUGGUAAGCAGAAUUGGCGAUGGGGGAUGAACCUAAAGCUGGGAUAAUAUGCUGCAGUGCUCAUUCAUCAGACACCAGAAAAGGUGUUGGUCCAUUUAAACAGCAGGACGGUGGUCAUGGAAGUUGGCAUCCGCUAAGGAAUGUGUAACAACUCACCUGCCGAAUGAACUAGCCCUGAAAACGGAUGGCGCUAAAAUGAGUAAUUGAUACCUGGCUGUUGCAAGUGAUUCACCUCAUGCAGCAAGUAGGGGGUGCACAUGUUUGUUAUGAAAUUGUGAUGCAAAUCUUGAUGGAACUGCUCCUGCUGCAGAUCUUGGUGGUAGUAGC